CAAUAUGGCUGCUCGCUUAGCCAAUCAAGUAUCAAUCAUUUUACCAAUCAGAGCUUCGGACAUCAAUGUCGCUUCUCUCUUUAUAUAGGACUCUAUAUAGGACCCUAGUCGACAUGGUCGACACUUAGGUUAGAAUCAAAAAGUCAAGCAAAGUUAAGUAAAAAAAAAUAAGAAUAAUAAUAAUUAAGGCCAAAAUAUUUAGACACGAUCCCAAAUAUUUAGACGCGCACGGAAAAUCGAUACGUGCAAGAUGUAUGCAUGCGCGCGUGUGCGUAUACUUUUGGCAGCUACGUGCCAGACGAGAAUUGAUUAUCACAUACACAACUCGCACAAGCGGUUCUCCGAGUCUGAGAUCGUGCCAAAACGUUCGGACCUUAAUUAUAAAAUUAAAAUUAUUAUUGUAAAUAAAGGGUUAUGUAACUUUGAUUUAUAUUUGUUUCUUAUUUUUUUGUUUAUAGUGUUUAUAAUUAAUAUUAAUAUUAUAAAUACGGUACGAAAAUGCGAAGUUUUUGGCUGCCCUGUUAUGGGGUUAUGUGAUAGGGGUUACGAUUAUUUUACUUUCCAAAAUGUGAAAAACAACGUUUAUCUUGGCUAUCUUGGAUAAAAGUCAAACGACCUGGAUGGAUCCCUAAAACGAAUAGUUGUAUAUGUGAAGUAAUUAUCUUAUCGACUAAUCAUUUUUAUGUAUAGCCGGUAUAUUGAUAGUUGAUUCUUAUAUUUAAGACAGUUUUAAAAUAAGUACCGACUAUGAAUAUCGACUCAUAUGACAUUCUAAUGUAAUAUGAUUUUACUUUUUACAUGAUAUAACAUAUAUCUGUUAUUUUGUAUAUAUAUUUUCAGUUGUACUUUGCUCUAAAUUGUUAUGCGAAGCGACAGGAUGGCAAGAAAAUAUUAAAAAAUACAGCUAUACUCAGUUUGCAACAAAAGUCAUUAGAAAACCAGUCAUUUGAAUAUCCAGAGCUACAAAGAGAAACAUUAAAAUACAUAGAAAAUGCAGAGCAUUUAAAGGCAUCAUUGGAAAGAUUUCAAACUUCUAAAACUAUAGUUUAUUUAUCGGAUAUUACUAAUGCUUUUCAUGCGAAAAAAUUAAUUGUUUUACAUGAUUCAGAUUGUUCAACAUCUGUUUUAUCAAAGAAAUUGCUAUCUCAAGUGUCUUCUGUUAGAGACUCUACAGUAGAUAAAGGAAUUACUGAAUCAUCUGAAUCAAGUAAUAAUAUUUCUUUGAACCAUCCUGAUUAUUCUUUUUUAAAUGACUCUAUACCAAUAAAAGUUACACAGUCAUUCUUAUUUUGUCCAGUUAACAAAUCUGAUAUACCUAUAGAAAAUGACAAAAAUUUUAUACAAUCUAAUCUAACAGAAAAUGUCAGCACUCAAACAAAUAUAUUUGAAUAUAAUAAUGUCAGUACUCAAACUAAUAAAUUUGAACGUCAUAAUAUCAGCACUCAAACAGAUAUGUUUGAUAUCAGUAUUCAAACAAAUAAAUUUGAAUAUAACAACAUUUCUGCUGAUAAUUUUGUAACAAUCGUUGAGGCAUUAAAGAAAGAGACAGCUGAGAAACAAAAGAGAAUUGAAAGCCUUAAAAAGCAGCAUAAUACAGGGUUGGGCAGAAAAACCUGACACAUUUUAAAAAAUCGUUAUUCCCCUCCAAGUGAAAAGAGGGCGCUGUAACUCCGGGAGCGAAAAAUAGAUGGUUGAAGGUUUAUGUUUCAAUAUCAGUACAGUUCCAGUAUGGAGAAGUGGCCGCCGCAACAACGCGCGUUCGUUUGCGAGCGUUUUUUCAUAACUCAGUCCUACGUUCAAGCAAUUCGCGAUUUUCGUAUUGAAUAUUCUCUUCGUCCACGAGAUCCGGUUCCCUCUCGUAAUUCUGUGAAUCUGUGGGUCAAAAACUUCCGACAAAUAGCCACAGCCACGAAACAAAAGCCUCCAGGGCAACCAAGAAUGGUAAGAACCCCUGAAAAUAAGACACGCGUUCGCACCUCUUUGCAACGAAGUCCACGCCGUUCUGCCGUUCUUAAUACCGGAGUUGAAGAAGAAACGCAAGUUUCGUCGCACCUUCUUCCAACAAGAUGGCGCCACGUGCCAUACGGCGAAAAAGAAGUUGGAUUUCCUAUACGAAGAAUUCGGCACCCGUCUGCUGUCUCGCAACACUGAGUUUCCAUGGCCACCACGUUCGCCUGAUCUCUCAGUGUGCGACUUCUUUUUGUGGGGCUAUUUGAAGCAACGUGUCUACGCUAACAAACCUCGAACCUUGGACCAGCUGAGAGCCAAUAUUCGGAGAGAAAUUGCAGAAAUAAAGCCAGCGAUGUUGAAAAAAGUGUAUGAUAAUUUCGAAAAACGCCUCGAAAAUUGUAUUGCUUGUAACGGCCAUCAUUUAGCCGAUAUAAUUUUUGGUAAAUAAACAAAAAAAAACCUUCAAGUGUCUAGUUUAUUCUCCCGGAGUUUCAACCUCUUCCGAUUAAUAGCGGCCGCGCAAGUGGUUAUUAAAAUGUGUCAGGUUCCUCUGCCCAACCCUGUAUUAUUAAAAAAAGUAGUAAUAAAGUUUAUAAAAUGUAUUCUGACACUAAACACAAGUAUGCAGCUCAUUACAAACAAGUAAAACGCUUGAAAGAAAAUAAAAACAAGAUUUAUGGUAUUCUUGACGUAUUCAAGAAGUUGGAUCCAGAUCAAAUAGAAGCUUUAAAUAGAAAAUCAAAUAAUGAAUUAAAGUGGAGCUUUGUUACUAUAAAAAAUGCUCUCGUUUUUUAAAAUUAAAUGGGGAACACAAGGUUACAUCGAUUUUGUUAAGCGUCUUCCUAUUUAUCCUAGCAUUCGGACAUUGCAAAGAUAAUUAUUUCAUUUAAAAUUUAAUAGUAGUAUUCUACUAGAAGUGUUUGACAUAAUAAAGACUGAAGUACCUUGUAUGAUCACAGAAGAAAGAGAAUGUGUAAUGGUACUUGAUGAAAUGUCAAUAAAACCUGGCAAAGUGUUUAAUCCAUUAAUACAAAGAAUGAUUGGAUACUGCACUUUUCCUGCACACUCAGGAAUUGCAACAAAAGUUUUAAUUGUUUUAUUGGCAGGAAUUUCUCGUAGAUGGAAGAUUACUGUUGCUUAUUAUUUUAAUGGUAAGGCAGAUUCCGAAUGCAGAAUACAAGAUGUAAAUGCUACAGGAAAUGCAGUGAAAACAAUCAUUCUCACUUUAAUUGAAAAGGCAGAAAAUAUUGGUCUGCGUAUCAACUCAGUGAUCAGCGAUAUGGGCAGUGACAACAAAACCAUGUGGAAUGCAUUCGGAGUUGGUUGUACCAAAGAAUAGAUAUCUGUGCCGCAAAUAAUUUAUCUAAUUCUUUAGUAGAUAUUCAACAUAUUGAAACAUUACUGCAUCAUGAGAACAAGCAUGAAUUGAAAAUAGCUUAUAGACUCAAAGAUACUAAUUUACACUGCAAAAAUCAAUAUAACAAGAUGAGAGUGUCUACCGCUAGUUCAGUUUUAAAUAGAAGAACAAAAACAGCAUUAAAAACUUGCCAAUUAUACAAGUGAUAAUUCAUUUGAAACUACAGCUUUUUUUAUUAAUCUUGUGGAUCGUUGGUUUAACAUCAUGACAAAUAGAUCUCGUAUCUUUGCUCUCAGUAAAUCCAAUAUUAAGAUGUAUAAUGAUGUUAUUGCUCAUCUAAGGAAAACUCAGCAAAUAUUUUAUUCCAUGUUAAUAGGGAAAAAAGGACACUGGAAGCCAGUACAAUCUGGAGUAAUAAUGGCAACAGAAAGCAUUAUCGAGUUGCAGCAAUAUUUUUUAAAUGAAAAGGGGUAUAAUAUACUUUUUUUAACAGGCCGUUUUACUCAAGAUUGCCUCGAAAAUCUAUUUUCUCUCUUAAGAUUUAAGCAACCUAUUCCAAACCCUCUUCUUGUUAA